rnacentral:rRNA from 1 species
CUACGUGCCAGCAGCCGCGGUAAUACGGAAGGUCCCGGCGUUAUCCGGAUUUAUUGGGUUUAAAGGGAGCGUAGGCCGUGGAUUAAGCGUGUUGUGAAAUGUAGACGCUCAACGUCUGACUUGCAGCGCGAACUGGUUCACUUGAGUGUGCGCAACGCAGGCGGAAUUCGUGGUGUAGCGGUGAAAUGCUUAGAUAUCACGAAGAACUCCGAUUGCGAAGGCAGCUUGCGGGAGCACAACUGACGCUGAAGCUCGAAAGUGCGGGUAUCAAACAGGAUUAGAUACCCUGGUAGUCCGCACGGUAAACGAUGGAUGCCCGUUCUUCGUUCUUUUGAAUGAGGGACCAAGCGAAAGCAUUAAGCAUCCCACCUGGGGAGUACGCCGGCAACGGUGAAACUCAAAGGAAUUGACGGGGGCCCGCACAAGCGGAGGAACAUGUGGUUUAAUUCGAUGAUACGCGAGGAACCUUACCCGGGCUUGA